rnacentral:lncRNA from 1 species
UCUUCCUCCUCCAAAUCUCCUCUUGCUUUAGAAUAUCUAUGGUGCUUGAAGAAAAAGGAAGAGAUUAGCUGUCGAAAUUGCUUGCAGGCUAGCACCUCCAAGCCCCUGAUCUGCGCCAAUCUUCAUGUGAAUUUUUUUGUAGAGGCCAGAUGACUUUGUGUGGCUAUGAGUGAUCUAAAGAACACCUUCUCCAACUAUUAGACAAGAGG